AUUUGGGUGGGGACACAGCCAAACCAUAUCAGCAUGUAUAUAUUUUAUAUGUACGUGAAAGGUCUGAUAUAUGAUGCAUAACAAAUAUAGUGAUUUAUAAAUUAUUCUGAACUCUAUAUGUGUUUGCUGUAUUUUCAUUUUUAAGAAAUGAAUUUGCAAAUAAUGGUGGCAAAGGUAUGCACAUGAAAAUUCAUAAUUCAUUAUUUUGAAGAGAAGGAAUAACCAUAUCUUGCAAAUUAUUUAUGUUACUAUCUCACUGUAUUUUUCCCUUUGGCAGGCUCUGUGUGUGUGUGUGUGUGUGUGUGUGUGUUUGUGUGUGUGUACAUAUACACACAUAUAUAUGAUGGUAAUUGUACUAAUUAUUAUCUUAAUCUUGCAAUUGUUCAACUCAUUUUUUAACAAGUUUUUAUUACUCUGUAAUAUAUGAUUGAGUGGCAAGUCACAGUUGUAGUACAGAUUCUUAUUUGUGCCAACUAAAUUAAAUAAUUAACCUCUAUCAAGAAUAACUUUAAAAAGGUGGGGGAUGCUUGAUAUUUAAUCAGUAAUAGACUAUAUAGUGUUCUAUCGGCAUCUAUAUUAAUCUGUAGGGAGAUUUUAUUGCCUCUAUGCAUAUUAUAAAAGGUGCUUAAUUUUGGUUUACUUUCCUCCCACCAAAUGCCAGCUCUUUUCCAACCUGUUUAUUAUAACCUACUUGGUUUGCAGUUCGGAAGAUACAUGGUUGCAAUGAUAAGCUAAGUAUUUGUUGCUAGAACUAACAGUUCUUGCUGAAAAACAGUGAGCAGAAUUACAUACAAUAACGGGUUUUACAAACAGCAACUCAAGUAACAAAAUAGCAUUCCUUGUCUAGGAAACGGCUUCUUAGUGUAUUUGAUAUGGGAAAGGAGCCACAUUUUGCUAUAUACAUGAAUGAUGAAACGUGCUGUUAGAAGUCUUUUUAACACACAAAUAUAAUUAUGUUAUAGACUGCUUAAAAUAAUUCUUGCUGUCUUCUGUGGAAGAAUAUGGCAUAACAUCCUUAUCCUAUCCUCCAGGGCAGUUUACAAGGCCCCUCCCUGCCUCUGCAGUGUGUCCAGUCCCUCUCCCAACCCCUCCACUCCACCACCUGCCAUCCCCCCUACCCCUACUCUAUUCUCCAGAUGCAUUAUCGUUCUCCAAUGUCAUCUAUACACCUUAUACUUUUUCCUGUAAUGCUGUUUUCUCUGCCUGAAAUAUUUUUCUUUCUCUUUAGAGUAUAGCAGAAUCUCAUGCGUCUUUCAAAGACCAAGCAGAUUGUCACAUAAUUUCUGAAUUUCCCCCCAACACCUUAUGAGAGGUGAAGAAAAGGAAAUAGAAAACAUUGGGGUAAAAUGAACAGCAGUGUUUUCCUGUAUCAUUCAUUUAUAGAAUUUCCAAAUAUCUGCACAAGACAAACAAUGCACCUAUCUUUACCUGGACAUCAGCCAGGACUUGUGUGGAAUAUCUAUGCUCCUCUAAGUAACUCACGCUUUAAAAAAUUUCUCGACUAGCUCUAUGAGCUCCAUAAAUCAGUAUUACAUUUUGAGGACAUUUUUUUUUUUUUUUGCAUCUGACUAGAACAUUUUUCUACCAGGACCCUGGCCCCUCUGUAAGAAAAUAAAACAAAAAAAUAAAAAUAAAAAUAAAAGCGUAUAGUCUACAUAAAAAAUUCCUGAAUCUAGAACUGUUGGCACAAGUCAGAUGGAGAACUCUCAUGAUCAACAGACUUCCUUAAGCAGCUUGGCUGGAUCUUAAUUAAUUUAACCAUUCCCCAACUAAAUAUCGCUAGGUAAUGCUUUAAUGGAAUUUUCAUCUCUAGAGGUUUUCCUAUAUUCAUGGGGUCAAAUGAUUCACAAUUUCAAUGGCUUUUGAUAAAUUGUUACAAAUUGAUUUUCAAAGGCUUUGUAUCAAUUUUAAAUGUCCCAGCUAUCUUGAGUGACUUAACAUUCUCUUCAUCUUUACCACCAAAAUUAGCUAAUUUAUUAUGUAAAAUUGUGUAUCUCAAUUUUUUUCUCUGACUAUUAAGGUUAAAUAUACUUUAUAGUUUGUUUACUGGGCUUAUUUAUUUAUUCCAAUGUGAGUUAUCUGUUAUAUAUCUUUUGUCCUUUCUUUUCAAUAUGAAUGCAGGGUGUAUGUGUGUGUGUGUAUGUGUGAGUUUU